rnacentral:rRNA from 1 species
ACGAACGCUGGCGGCGUGCCUAAUACAUGCAAGUCGAACGCUUCUUUUUCCAUCGGAGCUUGCUCCACCGGAAAAAGAGGAGUGGCGAACGGGUGAGUAACACGUGGGUAACCUGCCCAUCAGAAGGGGAUAACACUUGGAAACAGGUGCUAAUACCGUAUAACAAUCGAAACCGCAUGGUUUUGAUUUGAAAGGCGCUUUCGGGUGUCGCUGAUGGAUGGACCCGCGGUGCAUUAGCUAGUUGGUGAGGUAACGGCUCACCAAGGCGACGAUGCAUAGCCGACCUGAGAGGGUGAUCGGCCACAUUGGGACUGAGACACGGCCCAAACUCCUACGGGAGGCAGCAGUAGGGAAUCUUCGGCAAUGGACGAAAGUCUGACCGAGCAACGCCGCGUGAGUGAAGAAGGUUUUCGGAUCGUAAAACUCUGUUGUUAGAGAAGAACAAGGAUGAGAGUAACUGUUCAUCCCUUGACGGUAUCUAACCAGAAAGCCACGGCUAACUACGUGCCAGCAGCCGCGGUAAUACGUAGGUGGCAAGCGUUGUCCGGAUUUAUUGGGCGUAAAGCGAGCGCAGGCGGUUUCUUAAGUCUGAUGUGAAAGCCCCCGGCUCAACCGGGGAGGGUCAUUGGAAACUGGGAGACUUGAGUGCAGAAGAGGAGAGUGGAAUUCCAUGUGUAGCGGUGAAAUGCGUAGAUAUAUGGAGGAACACCAGUGGCGAAGGCGGCUCUCUGGUCUGUAACUGACGCUGAGGCUCGAAAGCGUGGGGAGCAAACAGGAUUAGAUACCCUGGUAGUCCACGCCGUAAACGAUGAGUGCUAAGUGUUGGAGGGUUUCCGCCCUUCAGUGCUGCAGCUAACGCAUUAAGCACUCCGCCUGGGGAGUACGACCGCAAGGUUGAAACUCAAAGGAAUUGACGGGGGCCCGCACAAGCGGUGGAGCAUGUGGUUUAAUUCGAAGCAACGCGAAGAACCUUACCAAGGCUUGACAUCUACUUAAGCUCAUGGAAACAUGAGGUCCCUUCGGGGGAAGUAAGACAGGUGGUGCAUGGUUGUCGUCAGCUCGUGUCGUGAGAUGUUGGGUUAAGUCCCGCAACGAGCGCAACCCUUAUUGUUAGUUGCCAUCAUUUAGUUGGGCACUCUAGCAAGACUGCCGGUGACAAACCGGAGGAAGGUGGGGAUGACGUCAAAUCAUCAUGCCCCUUAUGACCUGGGCUACACACGUGCUACAAUGGGAAGUACAACGAGUCGCAAAGUCGCGAGGCUAAGCUAAUCUCUUAAAGCUUCUCUCAGUUCGGAUUGUAGGCUGCAACUCGCCUACAUGAAGCCGGAAUCGCUAGUAAUCGCGGAUCAGCACGCCGCGGUGAAUACGUUCCCGGGCCUUGUACACACCGCCCGUCACACCACGAGAGUUUGUAACACCCGAAGUCGGUGAGGUAACCUUUUGGAGCCAGCCGCCUAAGGUGGGAUAGAUGAUUGGGGUG